UUAGUUCCUUUUAAGCAACAAGAAAGGAUUUCAAAGCUCACCAACUUCCAAAGUUGCACAAAGCACAGGGCGAUUAAGGCAUUGCUGAAGAUAGUAUGAUGUGAAAUGGGAUACAAAGGGUCAGCAAAAGUUUCAUUGGUGGAAUGGUUUAGUAAUUUCAUGGGAGAUGUAGAGGUUCAGAUAGAUGGGUCAAACAUGUAAGACAAUGGUUUGGGUGUAGAAAACUCGGGUCAUCCAAGGUCAUGUUGGUGAAGGUCAGUCAGAACGUCAAGCAGUUCUUGGCCAGUUCGGAAG
rnacentral:lncRNA from 1 species